AAAGUAUAUAUUAGUGUUAUUGUAAAUUGAUAUUAGGAUUUAAUAAAAGGAAUUUUAUUUAUAGAAGUUUUAGUAUAUUUGUUAGAAAAAAUUUAGGGAUUUAUAGUGAAAAUGUAUUGUGUAAGAAUGAUGAAAUAAUGGAAGAGUAAGUUAAUGGAAAGUAGAUUUAUAUUGUACCUUGUGUAUCAGGGUUAAUUGAAAUUAUAUUUUUAAAAAGAAUAGUCUCGAAUUAAUAGAGAGCGACAGUAUUAGGAUUAAAAAUGUUGCAUAAUUUUAUUCAAUAAUAUUGUAGCAAUGAAAUGUUAUUCGUUCAUUAAGGUAUCUAGUUAUUUAGGAAAUGAAUUUAAUUCAGAUAUUUAUAGAUAAUUUAUUUUUAAUGAAUGAAUUAUUGAUUGAAUAUUAAUAAUUUAAGGGAUGAGCUUUAAGUUAUUGUUAAUAAUAGUUGUUAUUAGAUAAUAAAAUAAAGCUUUUAAUUAGCUGUAUUUUUGUAUGUGUUAUAACUUAUUUAAAUUUAAAUGAAUUUAGAUGAAUUUUAAUUUUUUAUUAAAUUGAUUUUAUUAAUAUUAAUGAAAUGUAAUUAUGAUUAAAUUAGUAUAGAUAUUAGUGAAUAUUAUUUAAUAUAUUGAAAAUUUAUAUUAAGGAAUUCAGCAAAUUAGUGCUCGCCUGUUUAACAAAAACAUGUCUUUUUGGUUAUAUUUAAAGUCUGAUCUGCCCACUGAAUUUUUUUGAAGGGCCGCAGUAUUUUGACUGUGCAAAGGUAGCAUAAUCAUUAGUCUUUUAAUUGAAGGCUAGAAUGAAUGGUUGGACGAGGUAUUAACUGUCUCAAUGUAAAAUUUAGAAUUUAAUUUUUUAGUUAAAAAGCUAAAAUAAAUAUGGAGGACGAGAAGACCCUAUAAAGUUUAAUAUUUUAUUUUAAGAAUUAAUUUAGUGGUAUUUGAUUUUUAAGAAAUAUUUAUUUGGUUGGGGUGAUUUGAAGAAUAAUUAAACUCUUUAUUAUGGGAAACUUAGAUGAUAGGUAAAUUGAUCCAUUAAUAGUGAUUAUAAGAUUAAAUUACUUUAGGGAUAACAGCGUAAUUUUCUUUGAGAGUUCUUAUCGACAAGAAAGAUUGCGACCUCGAUGUUGAAUUAAGAAUAUUAGUGGGUGUAGAAGUUCAUUAAAUAAGUCUGUUCGACUUUUAAAUUCUUACAUGAUUUGAGUUCAGACCGGCGUGAGCCAGGUCGGUUUCUAUCCUUAUGAAAUUAAAACAUUUUAGUACGAAAGGACCAAGUGUUAAGUAAAUUAUUUAAAAAGAGAAUAUUAAU
rnacentral:rRNA from 1 species